rnacentral:snoRNA from 1 species
AUGCACCAUCGAGCUGUUGUGCACAACAUUGCACGAACAGUAGGAAGGUGCAAAGAUUG